GAUGAACGCUGGCGGCGUGCCUAAUACAUGCAAGUCGAGCGAACGGACGAGGAGCUUGCUCCUCUGAUGUUAGCGGCGGACGGGUGAGUAACACGUGGAUAACCUACCUAUAAGACUGGGAUAACUACGGGAAACCGGAGCUAAUACCGGAUAAUAUUUUGAACCGCGUGGGUCAAAAGUGAAAGACGGUCUUGGUGUCACUUAUAGAUGAAUCCGCCCUGCAUCAGUUAGUUGGUAAGGUGACGGCUUAGCAAGGCAACGAUGCAUAGCCGACCUGAGAGCGUGGUCGGAUAGACUGGAAGUGAGACACGGUACAGACACCUACGCGAGGCAGCAGUAGGGAAUCUUCCGCGAGGGGCGAGAGGCUGAUAGAGCAAAGCCGCGUGAGUGAUGAAGGUCCUCUGAUCGGAAAGCUCUGUUAGUAGGAGAGAACAAAUGUGUAAGUAACUGUGAUGAUCUUGACGGUACCGAGUGAGUAAGCCCCGGCUAACUCCGUG
rnacentral:rRNA from 1 species